rnacentral:lncRNA from 1 species
ACACGGAAGUGCCUACUACUCCUGUUGCCUCUGUGCAGGGAUCCAUUACUGGGGUGCUGCCAGAGGUUCCCAAAUGGAUAUCUUAACUAUUCAUGGAUAGGCACUUCAAUGCAGGCACAUACAAUCUGGCUAAAAAAAGCAGAGAGAGCUAGAAGACCACGUCUGCCUAUAAUCGAGGCAUCCUGUUGGAGAAGGAGGAGGAGAUGCCAGGGCAGCUAGAUGUUAAACUACUGCAGACUUGUAUGUUCAGCAAGGUAAAGGAGAGCAAAGCGCUCUCAUUCCCCCACCCCGCCCCCGCUCUUCCCAGAGCAAUAUGCUACCAGACUUGAAGGAGGCAGAGGUCGAACAAUUGAGGCAAUCUUAGACUUAUAAGACAAAGUUUUCAAAGCCAAGCUGAACUCUUUUUUCAGGUGGAAAGGCAGGCUCUCCGACUCGGUGCGGGAUGCAGAGAAAGGGCAGGAGAACAAAGCGGUUUCUUGUCCGUGGCUACUGCAAAGCUGCAGUGAGGUCAGUAACAAGCAUUUGUGGCGCAAUGCUAUCACAAAAGAAAUCUUCCAAAGAAAUCAUAAGACCGUGCCAGGAAAAUUGAAAAUCAUGCACUCCAGGCCUUGGAGAGAAUGGCAGAGGAGGGCAGCUUGCUCCAGGUUUGCCUCACACCCUGUUCCUUUUGGACAGCUUGUAUAUGCUGUUGCUAGUAACACAAUGGCAAAGGCAUUGUGUAUGGAUGUGGCCUCCAAGUAUAGGAUGUGGUAACUCUGUUAUUGGGAGCAGCUGUUGAAGAG